GGGGCUGUAGUAUAAUCUGGUAGUACAGCCGCCUCCAAAGCGGCUUGUUCGGGUUCAAAUCCUGACAGCCCCACCA
rnacentral:tRNA from 1 species